rnacentral:rRNA from 2 species
UGCAGUCGAGCGGACAGAUGGGAGCUUGCUCCCUGAUGUCAGCGGCGGACGGGUGAGUAACACGUGGGUAACCUGCCUGUAAGACUGGGAUAACUCCGGGAAACCGGGGCUAAUACCGGAUGCUUGUUUGAACCGCAUGGUUCAAACAUAAAAGGUGGCUUCGGCUACCACUUACAGAUGGACCCGCGGCGCAUUAGCUAGUUGGUGAGGUAACGGCUCACCAAGGCAACGAUGCGUAGCCGACCUGAGAGGGUGAUCGGCCACACUGGGACUGAGACACGGCCCAGACUCCUACGGGAGGCAGCAGUAGGGAAUCUUCCGCAAUGGACGAAAGUCUGACGGAGCAACGCCGCGUGAGUGAUGAAGGUUUUCGGAUCGUAAAGCUCUGUUGUUAGGGAAGAACAAGUGCCGUUCGAAUAGGGCGGCACCUUGACGGUACCUAACCAGAAAGCCACGGCUAACUACGUGCCAGCAGCCGCGGUAAUACGUAGGUGGCAAGCGUUGUCCGGAAUUAUUGGGCGUAAAGGGCUCGCAGGCGGUUUCUUAAGUCUGAUGUGAAAGCCCCCGGCUCAACCGGGGAGGGUCAUUGGAAACUGGGGAACUUGAGUGCAGAAGAGGAGAGUGGAAUUCCACGUGUAGCGGUGAAAUGCGUAGAGAUGUGGAGGAACACCAGUGGCGAAGGCGACUCUCUGGUCUGUAACUGACGCUGAGGAGCGAAAGC